GAUUUGUCUAGUACAACCCUUCUUAAUUAUUGCCUUUCAUUACUGUUGCAGUAUUUCCAGGUGAUUGUUACUUUCAUUGCUGCUGAAUUUAUCUCUCAGGGAUUUCUUGGGAUUUGGUUUAUAAAGAUGAAGACCAAAGAGUCUGAGCUCACUGCCUACUUAAGAAACAACUACCCUUUGGCAUUCCUGGCAGCUGUGCAGUCUGUCCCUGUGAAACAUCAUCUUUUUCUGAGACAUCUAAACCUUCAUCUCCCCAGCAUUGCUUACAGCUCUGAAAUUUCACUUGAAGUCUAUUACCCAGUAAUUAGUGUAUUGAAUUAGACCUGUAUGUUUCAUAGCUGUAGUGCCUCAAUCAAAAUGUUCCACAGUACUGAAUCAAAUAUCCCAUCAUGGAAAUUAUUUUAACCCUAUUGCUGUUAUCAAAAAGCCCCAAAGCCUCAUAACGUUAUUUUAAAAAGUAGUUUGAGAUAGGUUCAUGGGAAAAGGCUAUGCAAAUACGAGUUCCCUGGAGAGUACCUUCUUAUCAAAUCCAGUGCUGGUUACUUCAUUUUGCUUAGGACUGAGGGUAGUUUGCCAGGCCUGAGGAUUACUUCAUCAUCUUGUUUACCCUUUUGAGUAAGCCCAUCAGAUGGCACUGUUGCACAUAAUCUUGUAAAUUCUCUCAGCCCAUUUGAGCAAAAUUUUAGUCCUGUAAGAAAAGGGUUUUGUUGAGUCUUUUUUUCCCCCCAGAUCCUAUUGCAUAUGCCCUCAUUAGGAUCCACGAGAGGCAGUCACUGCUUUUUUUGUUGGACUGCCUGCCACAGAAGCUUUUUCACCAGAUAGAGAUUUCUGACCUUGAGAAUCAGGCAUAGGCAUCUGAACAGUGGUCCUCAAAAGGAAAGAAAUUCCUCGAGUAGUGUGCAAGUGUAUUAUAAAACUAGUUGCAUUAAGACAGGACUAGUAUAACACUGAUAACAACGGCAAAGCUGAAAAGCCAUUGUGGAAAAGAAGUCAUUCUCCCUUUCCUCAAUUCUUCCUCUCUUGCCUGUCAUGAAAGUGUAACUGUCAUACAGGUGGGUCCAUCU
rnacentral:lncRNA from 1 species